rnacentral:tRNA from 1 species
GCGGGUGUAGCUCAGCUGGUUAGAGCGCCGGGUUGUGGUUCCGGAGGCCGUGGGUUCGAAACCCAUCACUCGCCCCA